CUUCGGAGUAGAAGCAGUCAGACGCCCCAGGCGUCCGGUCAUUGCUCCAGCA
rnacentral:ncRNA from 1 species